CCUACGGGUGGCUGCAGUGGGGAAUAUUGCACAAUGGGCGCAAGCCUGAUGCAGCCAUGCCGCGUGUGUGAAGAAGGCCUUCGGGCUGUAAAGCACUUUCAGCGGGGAGGAAGGCGUUAAGGUUAAUAACCUUGGCGAUUGACGUUACCCGCAGAAGAAGCACCGGCUAACUCCGUGCCAGCAGCCGCGGUAAUACGGAGGGUGCAAGCGUUAAUCGGAAUUACUGGGCGUAAAGCGCACGCAGGCGGUCUGUCAAGUCGGAUGUGAAAUCCCCGGGCUCAACCUGGGAACUGCAUUCGAAACUGGCAGGCUAGAGUCUUGUAGAGGGGGGUAGAAUUCCAGGUGUAGCGGUGAAAUGCGUAGAGAUCUGGAGGAAUACCGGUGGCGAAGGCGGCCCCCUGGACAAAGACUGCCGCUCAGGUGCGAAAGCGUGGGGAGCAAACAGGAUUAGAUACCCGUGUAGUC
rnacentral:rRNA from 1 species